rnacentral:rRNA from 1 species
ACCUGCAGUAACGUACAUAGUCAUACACCGGGGAACCCACUCUGU